ACUUCUCUUCAAGUCGCAACUCCCACUUGAACGGUCGACGUUGUUUCUGUUGACCUCGAUUCUUCUCCUUCUCCAAAUACCUUUUUUCUUUAAACAAAUCCUUUUACAAGUCACAAAUCUCUCAAUUCACCUUCACCAAUGGCUUCUAUGGCUGUGUCACAUCUAUCUUCUCCACUCUCAGUUAUCAAAAGGGCUUUGAGAAUGCCUCCCUUCCUUUGCCCAGUGGAAGAAUAUUAUGCCAAAAACUGAAACCCCAAUUGAAUUGAGUAAUGUAUUAAUCCAUUUAUUUGCUUUUUUUCCCCUUCAUACGCAUGCUCUUUAGCUCCUUCAAAUGUUUGGAAUUUUGAUUUGCUUAUUAGGGUACCCAACAUUUCCUAGUGGGAUGGAAGUAAUCAGAUUCCGAGAUUUUGCCCCAUCGGUUUGCAUUUGUUAUCUGUUUGUAAAAAUGUGCUUAAUUUGUUUCAUUAUUGACUUGAAAUGACAAAUUAGUUAAUGUUGGAAUGAAAUGGACUCGAAUAGAGUGGAAUGGAUAUGCAGGACAUAUAUAGUAGUUGAUUUUUUCUUCUAACUACAUAUUUCAAGACUAAAAAGGAAAGAUUGACAUAAGGCAUAGUUGGUUGAUUCAUUUGUUUCAGCAAUGUGAUUGAUUUACUGAUGAGGGCUGCAUUAUUUUCAGUUUACCUGUUUGUUCUAGUGGGUAGAGUGAUUGAAUAGAAUCCGGGAGUGUCACCUCUCACCUGUGGCUAUAAUGAAUAUGACUAUCAAUAAUAACUUCUUUCUUGGGCAUUUCCCUGAGCUAUCAUUAUGUAUAUGACUUGUUUCUUCAUUCCAUGACUGAUACUGAAUGUGCAUUUCUGUUGGUUCAACGGUCUUGCCUUAUUGAGUGUGGCAUGUUUAGAGUUCCUCUUUUUAAAAUCGAAGUAAUUGGAUAAAUUUGGUUUCUUAUUACCAACUUCAGAUUUUCAGGCCAAUGCUAAUAUAACUGAUGAUAGUUCUAAACUUUUCUCAUGUGGCGUGUUGCUUCAUGUCGUUACCGAACAGAUAGGUGAAGUCCUUAAUUUCACGAGUUACUCUUACCCAAGCUGGUGGCUCGGUUAUGAUUGUAACCUGAAGGGUCAGGCUCCAGAGUGAACUUCUUCUUAGCUGGAAAGACAAAGUAAGGUUCAGGAAGCCAGUGAUGGACUGGUGGCUGGAAAUACCUUGGAUGGAUGCGAAUUUCCUAUAUCUGCGAGCAAAGGUCCCGUUGUCCUUCCGUGCAUUGGUAUGACAAUCCUUAUUCUUGCUGUAUGAUAUCUUGGUCUUAUAACCCCAGAAGGCAGCAACUCACUGACAAUGCUACCUUCCUGGUUGAAUUAUGUUGUGAAUGUUUUUGCCGCAUUUUGGUCAAAUUAUCAAUUGAGACUGCAAAUUAUGCUCAUUCUUGAACUAGGUUCUUCAGAUGUUAAGUCUUGAUUAUUGAAUCAUUUGAUUGGAAUUUUUACUACCAUAUCUCAGCCUCUGUAUUGUUACAAUUUUUAUACUGUAAUACUUGGGCCAGAGUAAUCUUAAAUGUUUUCUUGAAGUAUAUAAAUUAUGUAAGAUGAUAAACUGUCUCAAGGGAAGAAUUUGAAUUUUCUCAAGGAGAAAAGCUUGGAGAGACAAAUCCAAGCUUUGGUUUCUUCUUUCUACAUCCAGUGACUCUUUACAAUGAAAUGUUUAAUAAUA